ACAGGAUGCGAAGCGGGAUGAGGCCGUUCGGAAAGCUUACAAAUAUCUGGCUGCUCUGCACGAGAACUGCAGCCACCUGAUCCAGACCAUCGAAGACACGGGCACCAUCAUGAGAGAGGUGCGGGACUUGGAGGAGCAGAUUGAGUCGGAGAUGGGGAAGAUGAUGGUGACCAAUUUGGAGAAGAUCCUAGCUGACCAGAAAGCCAUCCAGCAGGAUAACAGCGUUCUGCUCCGGAAGCUCAAGGAGACCUGAUCCCCUCCCACAAGGAGAUACGGAGAGGGGGGGGGGAACGACGGUGCCGCGAUUCCCCCCGGGCGGCACCACUGUACACCGCAAGCCUCAGAGGGGGGAGGGGAGACGGCGCGAGACAGGGGCUCCCUCUCUCACUUUCAUUUAUCCUUCGUUCUCUCUCUCUCUUCUCUCUCUCCUCUCUCUCUCUCUCUCUCUCUCUCUCUCUCUCUCUCUCUCUCUCUCACGCUCUCUCUCUCACGCUCUCUCUCUUCACGCUCUCUCUUCACGCUCUCUCUUCACGCUCUCGCUUCACUCUCUCUUUCUUUCUUUAUCCUUCGUGCUCUCUCUCUCUCUCUCUUUCUCCUGCUCGCUCUCGCUCUCUCUUUGUCCUUCCUUCUCUCACGCUCGCCCUCUCUCGCUCACCAUUAGUUUGUGCCUCUCUCUAUCACUCUGCUUACCCUGAGAGCUCUCUCGCUCCCCCUUGCUCUCUUUAUAGUUGGUGUGCUCUCGCUCUUGCAUGCGCUCUCUCUCUCUCUCUCUCUCUCUGUCCUUUUAUUGAUCCUCCAAUCAGUGACUGUAACGGCCCAGAGGUUUGACCGAAUAAACUCCUCCUGAACUUGC